UACAGAGGUCUCGAGCGUUGUUCGGAUUCAUUGGGCGUAAAGGGCGCGUAGGCGGCCUGCUAAGUCGAACGUGAAAUCCCUGGGCUCAACCCAGGAACUGCGUCCGAUACUGGUUGGCUUGAAUCCGGGAGAGGGAUGUGGAAUUCCAGGUGUAGCGGUGAAAUGCGUAGAUAUCUGGAGGAACACCGGUGGCGAAGGCGGCAUCCUGGACCGGCAUUGACGCUGAGGCGCGAAAGCCAGGGGAGCAAACGGG
rnacentral:rRNA from 1 species